GGCUCAGAUUGAACGCUGGCGGCAUGCCUAACACAUGCAAGUCGAACGGAGGUAGGGGCAACUCUACUUCAGUGGCGGACGGGUGAGGAAUGCGUCGGAAUAUACCCUAUGGUGGGGGAUAACACAGGGAAACUUGUGCUAAUACCGCAUAAUGUCGAGAGACCAAAGCAGGGGACCGCAAGGCCUUGCGCGAUAGGAUGAGCCGACGCCCGAUUAGCUAGUUGGUAGGGUAAAGGCCUACCAAGGCGACGAUCGGUAGCUGGUCUGAGAGGAUGAUCAGCCACACUGGGACUGAGACACGGCCCAGACUCCUACGGGAGGCAGCAGUGGGGAAUAUUGGACAAUGGGCGCAAGCCUGAUCCAGCAAUGCCGCGUGUGUGAAGAAGGCCUGCGGGUUGUAAAGCACUUUUGUUCGGGAAGAAAUCAUGCUGGUUAAUACCUGGUAUGGAUGACGGUACCGAAAGAAUAAGCACCGGCUAACUUCGUG
rnacentral:rRNA from 1 species